rnacentral:tRNA from 1 species
UGGCUUAGUUGGUUAAGCAUCUGACUUUGGCUUAGGUCAUGAUCUCACAGUUUGUGGGUUCGAGCCCCAC